UACGUAGGGUGCGAGCGUUGUCCGGAAUUAUUGGGCGUAAAGAGCUUGUAGGCGGUUUGUCGCGUCUGCCGUGAAAAUUCGAGGCUCAACCUCGAACUUGCGGUGGGUACGGGCAGACUAGAGUGUGGUAGGGGAGACUGGAAUUCCUGGUGUAGCGGUGAAAUGCGCAGAUAUCAGGAGGAACACCGGUGGCGAAGGCGGGUCUCUGGGCCGUAACUGACGCUGAGGAGCGAAAGCGUGGGGAGCGAACAGG
rnacentral:rRNA from 1 species